GUUCUGAGGAGGAUAACCUCUCUGUUCUACUGUUGGUUCUGAGGAGGAUAACCUCUCUGUUCUACUGUUGUUUCUGAGGAGGAUAACCUCUCUGUUCUACUGUUGGUUCUGAGGAGGAUAACCUCUCUGUUCUACUGUUGGUUCUGAGGAGGAUAACCUCUCUCUGUUCUACUGUUGGUUCUGAGGAGGAUAACCUCUCUCUCUGCUCUACUGUUGGUUCUGAGGAGGAUAACCUCUCUGUUCUACUGUUGGUUCUGAGGAGGAUAACCUCUCUGUUCUACUGUUGGUUCUGAGGAUAACAUCUCUGUUCUACUGUUGGUUUUGAGGAGGAUAACAUCUCUGUUCUACUGUUGGUUUUGAGGAGGAUAACCUCUCUCUCUGUUCUACUGUUGGUUCUGAGGAGGAUAACAUCUCUGUUCUACUGUUGGUUUUGGGGAGGAUAACCUCCCUGUUCUACUGUUGGUUCUGAGGAGGAUAACCUCUGUUCUACUGAGGAUAACCUCUCUGUUCUACUGUUGGUUCUGAGGAGGAUAACCUCUCUGUUCUACUGUUGGUUCUGAGGAGGAUAACCUCUGUUCUACUGUUGGUUCUGAGGAGGAUAACCUCUCUGUUCUACUGUUGGUUCUGAGGAGGAUAACCUCUCUGUUCUACUGUUGGUUCUGAGGAGGAUUAUCUCUCUGCUCUACUGUUGGUUCUGAGGAGGAUAGCCUCUCUGUUCUACUGUUGGUUCUGAGGAGGAUUACCUCUGUUCUACUGUUGGUUCUGAGGAUAACCUCUGUUCUACUGUUGGUUCUGAGGAGGGUAGUCUCUCCACAAAGCGUCUUUAAGAGUAGUACUGGUCUAGGAUCAGGUCCUCCUUGUCCCUAACAAUCUGAAUCAUUUGAAUCUAAAACACUACACUAAGACGCUUUGUGGAUACGUCUAACAGGGUCCAGAGCUAGGGAGGGUUCCUGCUGUUCUGUUGUGGCCCAGUCCGGAACAGACCCAGGCUGCCUACUGUAAGACCCUGUGAGGCUUGGCUAGAUUCACUCCAGGUUACAUAAUGACAACAGACUGGCUUGUGUUGCUGGCUACUGUCAGAUUCUAUUCAUCCACACAGUUGGUUUUAAAAAGGGGACUUUGGCCUUUUAAAAUGUGUUUCAAGCCUUUCAUACAUUUACGCAUUAAACAUUUCCUGCUGUGGAAAAUAUGUGGAUUGGAAUUUGUCCAUUUUAAAAGUUAAUAGUAAAAUGUUGUUAGAGUUCCUUUCAAAGGAUGAUUUGAAAUAAACUAAUUUUGAGUUAA
ensembl:lncRNA